rnacentral:ncRNA from 1 species
AUAUUGGAGAGUUUGAUCCUGGCUCAGGACGAACGCUGGCGGCGUGCCUAACACAUGCAAGUCGAACGGAAAAUUGAGCUUCGGUUCAAUUUUUAGUGGCGAACGGGUGAGUAACGCGUAGGCAACCUGCCCUUUAGACGGGGACAACAUUCCGAAAGGGAUGCUAAUACCGGAUGUGACGCUCCUAUCGCAUGACGGGAGCGUGAAAGAUGGCCUCUACACGUAAGCUAUCGCUAAAGGAUGGGCCUGCGUCUGAUUAGCUAGUUGGUAGUGUAACGGACAACCAAGGCGAUGAUCAGUAGCCGGUCUGAGAGGAUGAACGGCCACAUUGGGACUGAGACACGGCCCAGACUCCUACGGGAGGCAGCAGUGGGGAAUCUUCCGCAAUGGGCGAAAGCCUGACGGAGCAACGCCGCGUGAGUGAAGAAGGUCUUCGGAUUGUAAAGCUCUGUUGUACAUGACGAAUGUGCCGGUUGUGAAUAAUGACUGGCAAUGACGGUAGUGUACGAGGAAGCCACGGCUAACUACGUGCCAGCAGCCGCGGUAAUACGUAGGUGGCAAGCGUUGUCCGGAAUUAUUGGGCGUAAAGAGCAUGUAGGCGGCCUAUUAAGUCGGGCGUGAAAAUGCGGGGCUCAACCCCGUAUGGCGCCCGAUACUGGUGGGCUUGAGUGCAGGAGAGGAAAGGGGAAUUCCCAGUGUAGCGGUGAAAUGCGUAGAUAUUGGGAGGAACACCAGUGGCGAAGGC